UUGUGUGGCUUACCACACUUUGCACAAACUGCAUUAUCCGCACCAGAGCUUGAGCCACUCCCUAGUCCCAGAUUGGACUUGAUCUUGUUCCAGAACUUGUUCUUCUUCGGCUUCCUAGUGGUGUUACUCCACCUUUUGCUACCUGAAGCUGCUGCACUCAGAGAAGAAGAGCCUGGGGUCUUAGAACCAGAGGGCUGUGCCACUGACUGUUUAACUGUCCCCUGAAUGAUGGCACUAGCCUCCAUUUUCCGGGCCAUAUCUACUAUGGCAUGGAAGCUCUCCCUAUCUGCUGACUG
rnacentral:lncRNA from 1 species